AGCUAUGCGCAGCGGCAGUAUUGUAGCCAGUGAGGUUUAUCCGAGGCGCGAUUAUUGCUAAUUGAAAACUUUUCCCAAAAAACUAAAUCACAAAUGCGUAUAUUGGUCUGGGCC
rnacentral:snRNA from 1 species